rnacentral:rRNA from 1 species
UACGAAGGGGGCUAGCGUUGCUCGGAAUCACUGGGCGUAAAGGGUGCGUAGGCGGGUCUUUAAGUCAGGGGUGAAAUCCUGGAGCUCAACUCCAGAACUGCCUUUGAUACUGAAGAUCUUGAGUUCGGGAGAGGUGAGUGGAAACUGCGAGUGUAGAGGUGAAAUUCGUAGAUAUUCGCAAAGAACACCAGUGGCGAAGGCGGCUCACUGGCCCGAUACUGACGCUGAGGUGCGAAAGCGUGGGGAGCAAACAGG